rnacentral:rRNA from 1 species
AGUGAACGCUGGCGGUAUGCCUAACACAUGCAAGUCGAACGGCAGCACAGUAAGAGCUUGCUCUUACGGGUGGCGAGUGGCGGACGGGUGAGGAAUACAUCGGAAUCUACUUUUUCGUGGGGGAUAACGUAGGGAAACUUACGCUAAUACCGCAUACUACCUACGGGUGAAAGCAGGGGAUCUUCGGACCUUGCGCGAUUGAAUGAGCCGAUGUCGCAUUAGCUAGUUGGCAGGGUAAAGGCCCACCAAGGCAACGAUCCGUAGCUGAUCGGAGAGGAUGGGAGGCCACACGGGAAAUGAGACACGGGCCAGACUCCUACGGGAGGCAGCAGGAGGGAAGCUGGCGCAAGGGGCGAAAGCCGGACCGAGCAACGCCGCGUGAGUGAAGAAGGUCUUCGGAUAGUAAAACUCUGUUAUUAGGAAAGAAAAAAUGGGUAAGAAAAUGUGCGCGUCAUGACGGGACCUAAUCAGAAAGCCACGGCUAACUACGUG